GAUGAAGAACGUAGCAAAAUGCGAUACUUGGUGUGAAUUGCAGAAUCCCGUGAACCAUCGAGUUUUUGAACGCAAGUUGCGCCCGAAGCCUUUUGGCCGAGGGCACGUCUGCCUGGGCGUCACGCAUCGCGUCGCCCCCCACAAUUCUCCGUAAAGGGAACGUGUGUUUUGGGGGCGGAUAUUGGUCUCCCGUGCUCAUGGCGUGGUUGGCCGAAAUAGGAGUCCUUUCGAUGGACGCACGAACUAGUGGUGGUCGUAAAAACCCCCGUCUUUUGUUUCGUGCUGUUGCUCGCAAGGUAAACUCUUUAAAAACCCCAAUGUGUCGUCUCUUGACGACGCUUCGACCGCGACCCCAGGUCAGGCGGGACUACCCGCUGAGUUUAAGCAUAUCAAUAAGCGGAGGA
rnacentral:misc_RNA from 1 species